ACGAACGCUGGCGGCGUGCUUAACACAUGCAAGUCGAACGCUGAAGCCCCAGCUUGCUGGUGUGGAUGAGUGGCGAACGGGUGAGUAAUACGUGAGUAACCUGCCCUUGACUCUGGGAUAAGCCCGGGAAACUGGGUCUAAUACUGGAUGCUACAUGUCACCGCAUGGUGGUGUGUGGAAAGGGUUUACUGGUCUUGGAUGGGCUCACGGCCUAUCAGCUUGUUGGUGAGGUAAUGGCUCACCAAGGCGACGACGGGUAGCCGGCCUGAGAGGGUGACCGGCCACACUGGGACUGAGACACGGCCCAGACUCCUACGGGAGGCAGCAGUGGGGAAUAUUGCACAAUGGGCGAAAGCCUGAUGCAGCGACGCCGCGUGAGGGAUGACGGCCUUCGGGUUGUAAACCUCUUUCAGCAGGGAAGAAGCCACAAGUGACGGUACCUGCAGAAGAAGCGCCGGCUAACUACGUG
rnacentral:rRNA from 1 species